UGUGUGUGUGUGUGUGUGUGUGUGUGUGUGUGUGUGUGUGUGUGUGUGUGUGUUCUGUUCUCAUUUUAAAUAACUCGCAAAAACUCGCUCUGAUUAUUACAACGAGAAAUGAGUCUCUCUCUCUCUCUCUCUCUCUCUCUCUCUCUCGCGUUGUGUGUGUGUGUGUGUGUGUGUGUGUGUGUGUGCAGCCAAAACAGAAAUAACGUUACACAACCCUGAAACAAACACGAAUAAAAAAACUGAAAAAGAAAAAUGAAAAAAACAAACAAAAAACGGAGACAACAAAAUAAAGCCGGUUACCGUACUCGCUUUGAUCCGCGUAUGAGCGUUCGUUACGGCGCUGGAUAAAAAAAAAGGAAAAAAUAAAUAAUAAAAGUUCAGCUAGAAAAAAGUAUGGAAGAAAAAGUAAAAAAAUAAAAUAAAACUGAAGAAAUAUCGGAGGAAAAUAAAAUGAGGCAAAACAAAAAGAAGGAAAGUAAGAAAUAAAAAUUAGGAGAAACGAAAAGAAGUAGAGGAAAAGUAAAAGUGAGAGAAAGUAAGAAAUAAAACUUAGGAGAAACGAAAAAUAGUAGAGGAAAAGUAAAAGUGAGAGAAAGUAAGAAAUAAAACUUAGGAGAAACGAAAAAAAGUAGAGGAAAAGUAAAAGUGAGAGAAAGUAAGAAAUAAAACUUAGGAGAAACGAAAAAAAGUAGAGGAAAAAUAAAAGUAAGAGAAAGUAAGAAAAAUCGUGAAAAGAAGUAGAGUAAGAAAAAUAUGUAAGAAAAAGUUUUAAAAAAUGUGAAAAGAAGUAGAAUAAGGAAAAAUAGAAGGAAAAGUAAAAAAAAAACAGAUGGAAAAGUAAGAGAAAAAGAAAGUAAGAAAAAAACGUAAAAACAAGUAGAGUAAGAAAACAGAACUUAGGAGAAACAGGCGAACAAAAAGUAGAGGAAAUAGUAAAAGUAAGAAAAGGUAAGAAAAAGCAAAUGGAAGCAGAGUAAGUAAGAAAACAACAACUAAGAUCAAGAGGAAAAAAGUAGACGAAAAAGUAAGAAAAAAAAACUGAAAAAGCAAAAGUGAGAAAAAGUAAGAAUUAGUGAUAGAUAAGUAAAAUUAAUGAUAAGUUAGAAAAAAAGUAUAUAAAAGAAAGGAAGGGAGAAAAAGUCAGAAAAUAAGUAAAAAAAAAGACUUGUAAAAAAGUAAGGAAAACUAAGAAAUAAUACAAAAAAAUAGUGAACAAAAGUAAACAAAAAGUAGAAAAAGUGAGUAAAUGUACGAUAAAAGUAAAUAAAAGGAAGAAAAGUAUCAAAGUCGGUAAAGUAAGAUAAAAGUGAAUAAAAGGAAGAAAAAGUAAAUUAAAGGAAGAAAAAUAUCAGUCGGUAAAGUAAGAUAAAAGUGAAUAAAAGGAAGAAAAAGUAAAUAAAAGGAAGAAAAGGUAAAUUAAAGGAAGAAAAAUAUCAUAAAUUAAAGGAAGAAAAAUAUCAGUCGGUAAAGUAAGAUAAAAGUGAAUAAAAGGAAGAAAAAGUAAAUAAAACUAAGAUAAAAGUGAAUAAAAGGAAGAAAAAGUAAAUAAAAGUAGGAUAAAAGUGAAUAAAAGGAAGAAAAAGUAAGAUAAAAGUGAAUAAAAGGAAGAAAAAGUAAAUAAAAGUAGGAUAAAAGUGAAUAAAAGGAAGAAAAAGUAAGAUAAAAGUGAAUAAAAGGAAGAAAAAAUAUCAAGGUCGAUAAAGUAAGAUAAAAGUGAAAAAAGUAAGAAAAAGUAAAUAAAAGUAAGAAAAAGUAAGCCAAAGCAAAAAAGUAAGGUAUUGCGCCACGUUUUUCCCUCUCCGCUAAUAUCCAGCGACCAGAACCUUGAACCAACAUUUACUUUUUUUUCCUCUUUUUGUCCCCUCCUGACUGACGGACUGACUUACUGGCUGACUGACUGACGAAAUGACUGACUAACUGACUAACUGACUGGCUAACUGACUGACUGACUGACACUGACUAACUGACUGAUUUAAGAAAUGACUCACCAACUAACUGAUUGACUGACGAACUAACUGACUGAUUGACUGACUAGCGAAAUGACUGACCGAUCUACUAACUGACUGACUAACGAACUAGCUGACUGACCGACUGACUACUUUAACUAACUAACUAUUUAACUAACUGUCUGACUGACUGAGUGACAAAUUGACUUACUAAUUAAAUAUUGACUAACUAAUUGACUGACUUACUGAGUGACUAACUAACUAACUGACUAGCUAACUGACUGACUGACUGACAGACUUACCGAUUGAGGGCCUAACGAACUAACUGCCUGUCUGAGUAAUUGACUGACUGACCUACUAUCUGACUGACUGACUGAUCGAGUGACUAACCAGCUACUCCAACUAACCUCGAAAAAGAAUAAAAGUAAAAAAAUGAAAAAGAAAUGUAAAAGGUCAUUGUAUCGAGUUUUUUCCCCCCCUUCUCUAUUAAAGUUAAAGGGCUAGGAGUGUGUGUGUGUGUGUGUGUGUGUAUUUUUUCUUUCAUUUUCUGAAUCUUUUGUGCUUUGUGUUUUAUUGUUUGUAGUUUUUAUUGUUUGAGUGGUGGUGGAUAGACAGACAGCCGUGAAAUUUACAAACUGAGAAUGGACAAACUUUUAUAAUUUGAUGUACGGUACCUUGUUUAUGUAUUUUAAUAAUUUUGUAUGUGUGUCAAUAAACUAACUAGCUAACUGUGUGUGUGUGUGUGUGUGUGUGUGUGUGUGUGUGUGUGUGUGUGUGUGUGUGUGUGUGUGUGUGUGUGUGUGUGCUACCAUUUUUUUUUCUAUUUCGUAUAUUUUUUCUUUCUUUCCGUCCGUCAUU